UACGGGGAGGCAGCAGUAGGGGAAUUUUCCGCAAUGGGGGAAACCCUGACCGAGCAACGCCGCGUGAGCGAGGACGGCCUUCGGGUUUGUAAAGCUCUGUCAUCUGGGAAGAACGGGUAGGAGAGGACAUGCUUUUACCGUGACGGUACCACACCAGGAAGCCCCGGCUAACUACGUGCCAGCAGCCGCGGUAACACGUAGGGGGCGAGCGUUGUCCGGAAUCAUUGGGCGUAAAGGGCGCGCAGGCGGUCUCUUAAGUCUGAUGUGAAAUUCCACGGCUCAACCGCAGGAGGUCAUUGGAAACUGGGGGACUUGAGUGCAGGAGAGGGGAGCGGAAUUCCCGGUGUAGCGGUGAAAUGCGUAGAGAUCGGGAGGAACACCAGUGGCGAAGGCGGCUUUCUGGCCUGUAACUGACGCUCAGGCGCGAAAGCGUGGGGAGCGAACAGGAUUAGAUACCCUGGUAGUCCACGCCGUAAACGAUGAGUGCUAGGUGUUAGGAGGCGUCUCGCCUUCAGUGCCGAAGUAAACACAUAAG
rnacentral:rRNA from 1 species